rnacentral:rRNA from 1 species
AUGGAUGCCGAGCAAGAGGAGAAGGAUCGCGAAGUGGUGGUUUUUGAGGAUCUUGCUGGUGAACGGCAGGAUACAACUGAGGUCGAAGAAGAAGAGGAUCAUGCUAGGGUGGAGAAGGAUGAGCAGAUGGUUAUGUCAGAAAUGGCCAAGAAUAGGCACUUGAAAAAGGAGCUAGAGAUCUUUGUGAGAGGGCUGGACAGGGAAGCUGUCAAGGAGGAUAUCAGGAAGGUGUUCGGACAGGUCGGUGAUGUUGUGGAGGUCCGUCUCCACAAGGAUCUCUCCACCAACAAGAACAAGGGGUUUGCGUUCGUCAGGUUUGCAAACAAACAGCAGGUGGCUCGGGCGCUUGCUGAGGUGAAGAAUCCUAUGAUAAAUGGCAAGCAAUGUUGUAUCGGUGCUAGCGAGGACAACGACACACUAUUCUUGGGAAAUAUUUGCAAUACAUGGACAGAGGAAGCUAUUAAGAAAAGGCUGAAUGAGUAUGGGAUACAAGGAGUUGAAAGCUUAACUCUGGUUCCUGAUACUCAAAAUGAGGGAAAGAACCGGGGCUUUGCAUUUCUUGAGUUUUCUUGCCACGGAGAUGCGAUGAUUGCAUUUGAAAGGCUGCAGGAACCUGAUGUUGUGUUUGGUCAUCCCGAGAGAACUGCAAAAGUUGCUUUUGCAGAGCCGAUAAAGGAAACAGAUGCAGAAGUUCUGUACAAGGCUAAGUCAGUUUUUAUUGAUGGACUCCCACCAUAUUGGGAUGAAGAUCGUGUUAAGGACCGAUUCAAAGCUUACGGUUUAUUAGGUGUGGUGCUUGCUUGUGACAUGUCAAGUGUCAAAAGAAAUGGUUUCGGAUUUCUUUACUUCUCAACACAUGAGGAAGCUCUUGCUUGUAUUGAAGAAAAGGUACGGGUUAGACUUUCAAAUCCAUUGCGUAAAAGUAAAGCUGUGAAAGGAGGAAUGAGUGGCGGCUUUCGGAUUGGACAUUCUGGACCUGGUUUUAACAGACCUGCAGGUGGUAGAUGGGAACCUUCAUCAGGGAGGCCUAGUUUUGGUGGACACUUUGGUGAAAAUCUAUAUUUCUCCACAGAAGGUUGGCCUCGUGUUAAGAGGCCGCACUCUCAAAUGGAACCUGAUCCUGGGUACUUUGAGCCUGGUCCUCGCUGUGUAUGCCCUCGCUUUGACUAUUACGAGCCUCCCUUUUAUCGGGGGAACCGAUUUGAUCACUAUGAUGAGCCACCAUUUUCUGGAGGGAACUCCUAUAGAGAAAAGAGGGAUGACCCCCGGCCUCUGCAUCCGGGAGAUGCAUACGGCCAUAUUAUUAAUUAUUCUCGAGGACCUUACAAAAUCGGAGCAGAUCACGGGCGGGAAUGGAGCUUCUCCAGGAGCGCAGGACGACCCACGCGGGGGCGCCGCCUCGCCAUCGCCCGCCACCCCCCCGCCGACCGCACGGCCAGGGAGCCACCAGAUCCCCGCCGCCACCUUCAUAGGUGUCGCGCGGCCGGGCCGGCGAGCACCUCAGGCGGCGGCGGAGGGAGGGGAGAGGGAGGGGGAGGCGCGGAGGGGAUUAGGGUUUGCCCCCGGGUCGCCUCAGGCGAGGCGACGCGAGGGAGAUAUGACCUCGUUCACGCGUCCCACUAUUCAUUAAUUAGCAUGUGCUAA